rnacentral:rRNA from 1 species
UACAGAGGGGGCGAGCGUUGUUCGGAAUUACUGGGCGUAAAGGGCGCGUAGGCGGCUUGCUAAGUCGGACGUGAAAUCCCUCGGCUCAACCGGGGAACUGCGUCCGAUACUGGCGAGCUUGAAUCCGGGAGAGGGAUGCGGAAUUCCAGGUGUAGCGGUGAAAUGCGUAGAUAUCUGGAGGAACACCGGUGGCGAAGGCGGAUCUCUGGGCCUUGCCUGACGCUGAGGCGCGAAAGCUAGGGGAGCGAACAGG